AGUGAACGCUGGCGGUAGGCCUAACACAUGCAAGUCGAACGGCAGCACAGUAAGAGCUUGCUCUUACGGGUGGCGAGUGGCGGACGGGUGAGGAAUACAUCGGAAUCUACUUUUUCGUGGGGGAUAACGUAGGGAAACUUACGCUAAUACCGCAUACGACCUACGGGAGAAAGCAGGGGAUAUUCGGACCUUGCGCGAUUGAAUGAGCCGAUGUCGGAUUAGCUAGUUGGCGGGGUAAAGGCCCACCAAGGCGACGAUCCGUAGCUGGUCUGAGAGGAUGAUCAGCCACACUGGAACUGAGACACGGUCCAGACUCCUACGGGAGGCAGCAGUGGGGAAUAUUGGACAAUGGGCGCAAGCCUGAUCCAGCCAUACCGCGUGGGUGAAGAAGGCCUUCGGGUUGUAAAGCCCUUUUGUUGGGAAAGAAAAGCAGCAGGUUAAUACCCCGCUGUUCUGACGGUACCCAAAGAAUAAGCACCGGCUAACUUCGUG
rnacentral:rRNA from 1 species